rnacentral:rRNA from 1 species
GUCCACGCCCUAAACGAUGCGAGCCCGGUGUAGGAACUUCAAUCAGUUCCUGUGCCUCAAGCUAACGCGGUAAGCUCGCCGCCUGGGAAGUACGGUCGCAAGACUAAAACUCAAAGGAAUAGACGGGGACCCACACAAGCGGUGGAGCAUGGGGUUUAAUUCGAUGAUAAGCGAAGCACCUCACCCAGACUUGACAUGGUAGGAAUCUCGAAGAAAUUCGAGAGUGCCGCAAGGAACCUACACACAGGCGUUGCACGGUCGUCGU